rnacentral:rRNA from 1 species
UACAGAUGGGGCAAGCGUUGUUCGGAAUUACUGGGCGUAAAGGGCGCGUAGGCGGCCUUCUAAGUCGAACGUGAAAUCCCCGGGCUCAACCCGGGAACUGCGUCCGAUACUGGAAGGCUUGAAUCCGGGAGAGGGAUGUGGAAUUCCAGGUGUAGCGGUGAAAUGCGUAGAUAUCUGGAGGAACACCGGUGGCGAAGGCGACAUCCUGGACCGGUAUUGACGCUGAGGCGCGAAAGCCAGGGGAGCAAACGGG